rnacentral:tRNA from 69 species
GCGGGAGUAGCUCAGUUGGUUAGAGCGCCGCCCUGUCACGGCGGAGGCCGCGGGUUCGAGUCCCGUCUCUCGCGCCA